AGGCAGCAGUAAGGAAUAUUGGUCAAUGGAGGCAACUCUGAACCAGCCAUGCCGCGUGCAGGAAGACUGCCUUAUGGGUUGUAAACUGCUUUUAUACGGGAAUAAACAAUCUUUCGUGAAAGAUCUUGAAUGUACCGUAAGAAUAAGGAUCGGCUAACUCCGUGCCAGCAGCCGCGGUAAUACGGAGGAUCCAAGCGUUAUCCGGAUUUAUUGGGUUUAAAGGGAGCGUAGGCGGCUCAUUAAGUCAGGGGUGAAAACUUGCAGCUCAACUGUAAGCUUGCCUUUGAUACUGAUGAGCUUGAAUGUAGUUGAGGUGGGCGGAAUGUGACAAGUAGCGGUGAAAUGCAUAGAUAUGUCACAGAACACCAAUUGCGAAGGCAGCUCACUAAGCUAUGAUUGACGCUGAGGCUCGAAAGCGUGGGGAUCAAACAGGAUUAGAUACCCUGGUAG
rnacentral:rRNA from 1 species